rnacentral:rRNA from 1 species
UACGUAGGAGGCAAGCGUUGUCCGGAAUUACUGGGCGUAAAGCGCGUGUAGGUGGUGGGACAAGUCUGCUGUGAAAGCGCCUGGCUUAACCGGGCGAGGUCGGCGGAAACUGUCCGACUCGAGGACGGUAGAGGGGGGUGGAAUUCCCGGUGUAGUGGUGAAAUGCGUAGAUAUCGGGAGGAACACCAGUGGCGAAGGCGACUACCUGGCCCACUCUUGACGCUGAGGCGCGAAAGCUAGGGGAGCGAACGGG